CUGCCCGGUAGCUAAAUGCGGAAGAGAUAAGUGCUGAAAGCAUCUAAGCACGAAACUUGCCCCGAGAUGAGUUCUCCCUGAGACUAUAAGUCUCCUGAAGGAACGUUAAAGACGAUGACGUUGAUAGGCCGGGUGUGUAAGCGCAGCGAUGCGUUGAGCUAACCGGUACUAAUGAACCGUGAGGCUUAACCUUAC
rnacentral:rRNA from 1 species